rnacentral:rRNA from 1 species
CCCUUAGAUGUUCUGGGCCGCACGCGCGCUACACUGACGGAUUCAACGAGCUUACAACCUUGGCCGAAAGGUCUGGGUAAUCUCCAAAAUCCGUCGUGAUGGGGAUAGAUUAUUGCAAUUAUUAAUCUUCAACGAGGAAUGCCUAGUAAGCGCAAGUCACCAGCUUGCGUUGAUUACGUCCCUGCCCUUUGUACACACCGCCCGUCGCUCCUACCGAUUGAAUGGUCCGGUGAAGCGUUUGGACUAUGGUUUUCUGAUGGUCCGCCGUUGGAUUACCGUGGGAAGUUCGUUAAACCUUAUCAUUUAGAGGAAGGAGAAGUCGUAACA